ACCAAAACUACUCUUAGUAUUAUCAACAAUAUUCUUAUAUUAUGAUCUUGGUGUAAGACUCCUUAAUUUAUUUAUACUUUGAAUCUUUUUUCCAUUACCUUUUGAUUUUUUAUUUAUUUUUUUUUUUUUUUUUAUGUUAGGUAUCAUCUAUUUGGUAUUGUUGAAUAUCUACUUUCUCCAUUUUUAAUAUUUUAUAAUCUUGAUUCUUGGAUAUGCAUUAGGUGAUGCUAUUUACUUAGAUUUGCAGCUCAAAAUAGACUUUAAUUCUAUAUUUUGUCCUUGACCUUAUAUUCAAUAUGCACU
rnacentral:lncRNA from 1 species